GAUAUCUCGGCUCUCGCAUCGAUGAAGAACGUAGCGAAAUGCGAUACCUGGUGUGAAUUGCAGAAUCCCGCGAACCAUCGAGUCUUUGAACGCAAGUUGCGCCCGAGGCCACUCGGCCGAGGGCACGCCCGCGUGGGCGUCA
rnacentral:rRNA from 1 species